GGGGUUGUGGCUCAGUGGUAGAGUGCUUGCCUAGCAUGUGUGAGGCCCUGGGUUCAAUCCUCAGCACCA
rnacentral:tRNA from 1 species